CUGAAGCGACACAGUGCAGUCCAAAGUGCAGAAUACGGUCCGUAAAUCAAUUUACGGCCCGUAAACUGACUUUACGACCAGCAGUGUUCAGGUCGUAAAUUUCACUUUCACAGAACAAUAUAUAUUCGUCCAUAUCAGUUCAACUCAUUAUUUUUCAUUCCUUCAAACCCUAGAACGACCUCCUACUCUCCUCCAACAUCAAGAACACCAAGGGUUUUCAAGAAAACCCAUCUCAAGAUUCAAGAAUCAAGAUUUGGGAAAUCUUCUCCAAAAUUCAAGUCUUUAAUUCAGGUUUUGGAGCAAUUAAGGGUUUGCAACAUAUUUCCUUCCAAAGUGAUUCAAGCUAGGUUUUGGGUGUUCUUCAAUAGAAAAGUGAAUUGUUAAAUCUUGUUUAACAAAUUAAGGUAACGAAGAAGAGCAGGUUCGUGAUACUUUCGACGCUUAAUAGGACUUGCUACUGCUGUGGAUUUGGUGAGCCC